CUCGUAGGCGGUUCGAUACGGCGGUGGUGAAAGCUCCCGGCUCAGCUGGGGGAGGCCCAUCGCGUCGGUCGGACUCGAGGGUAGUAGAGGCGGAUGGAAUUCCUGGUGUAGCGGUGAAAUGCGUAGAGAUCAGGAGGAACACCCGUGGCGAAGGCGGUCCGCUGGGCCAUGCCUGACGCUGAGGAGCGAAGGCCAGGGGAGUGAACGGGAUUAGAUACCCCGGUAAUCCUGGCGGUAAACGAUGGACACUAGGUGUCAGCGGUAUCGACCCCGCUGGCGCCGGAGCUAACGCGUGAAGUGUCCCGCCUGGGGAGUACGGCCGCAAGGUUGAA
rnacentral:rRNA from 1 species